GCGGGCGUAGCUCAGAGGUAGAGCGCCGCGUUGCCAACGCGAAGGUCACGGGUUCGACUCCCGUCGUCCGCUCCA
rnacentral:tRNA from 1 species